ACACGACUACAUUAGACUACCCCUGUAGUCCUAGCCGUAAACGAUACUCGCUAGGUGUCGGCCACGGUGCGACCGUUGUCGGUGCCGUAGGGAAGCCGUGAAGCGAGCCCACCGUGGGAAAGUACCGGGCCGACAAGGCUAGAAACUUAAAGGAAUUGGCGGGGGAGCACAACAACGGGUGGAGCUUGCGGUUUAAUUGGAUUCAACGCCGGAAAUCUUACCGGGACCGACAGCAACAUGAAGGCCAAGCUGAAGACUUUGCCGGAUUAGCUG
rnacentral:rRNA from 1 species